UACGGAGGGAGCAAGCGUUACUCGGAAUUACUGGGCGUAAAGGGCGCGUAGGCGAUUUUGUAAGUCUUGUGUGAAAGCCCAAAGCCUAACUUUGGAAGUGCACAAGAUACUGCGAGAAUUGAGUUCCGGAGAGGAAGAUGGAAUUCCCGGUGUAGCGGUGAAAUGCGUAGAUAUUCGGAAGAACACCAGUGGCGAAGGCGACUUACUGGACGAUUGUUGACGCUGAGGUGCGAAAAGCAGUGGGGAGGCAAACAA
rnacentral:rRNA from 1 species